AAAGAAAACAUCUACUGAUAUGAAAUGGCAUAAGGAGAAACGUGUGGAUGAUGGGGUACUAAGGCAUCCGGCUGAUGGUGAGGAAUGGAAGAAUUUUGAUGUCCGGUAUCCUACCUUUGCUGCGGAUCCGCGAAAUGUGAGGCUAGGAUUGGCCACCGAUGGUUUUAACCCUUUUGGAACUAUGAGCACUUCAUAUAGUAUGUGGCCCAUUAUUGUGAUGCCUUACAAUCUCCCUCCUUGGAAGUGUAUGAAAGAACCCUUUUCAUGAUGUCAUUGCUUAUUCUCGGUCGAUCUGCACCUGGAAGAGAUAUUGAUGUGUACUUGCGACCUUUGAUUGAUGAGUUGAAAGAGUUGUGGGAGGAUGGCAUCCAAACUUAUGAUGCCUCUAAUGGGCAAUUUUUUAAGAUGCAUGCAGCUAUCAUGUGGACCAUUAACGAUUUUUCUGCGUAUGCCAACAUGUCUGGAUGGACUACGAAAGGUUAUUUAGCUUGCCCCAUAUGCAAUGAGGAUGCAUCAUCGCAACAUUUGCGGAGUAAGAUAGGCUACAUGGGAGCUCGUCGCUUCUUACCUAAGAACCACUCUUGGAGAAAAAGCAAAUUGUUCAAUGGCCAAGUUUUGAAUAGGUCCAAGCCUUCAGAGUUAACAGGGGAAGAAAUAUUGAGGCAAAUAGAAUCGGGAGUGUACAAGCUGCAUGGAAAGCAUCCAACCAAUAGAAAAAGACAAAGGGAUGAAAAUCCAAUUUUGAAUUGGACAAAGAGAAGCAUCUUGUUUGAACUGCCUUAUUGGAAGACACUCAAACUUCGACAUUGUCUUGAUAUUAUGCAUAUAGAGAAGAAUAUAUUUGACAAUUUGAUUGGAACGUUACUGGGUGUAGAUGGGAAAAGUAAGGACACAGAAAAAGCAUGUAGAGAUUUGGAGGAUAUGAGAAUAUGAAAGGAGUUGCACCUAAAGAAACGUGCAGAUGGGUCAUUUGAGAAACCCCCAGCGUUGUACACAUUGUCCCAAAUCGAGAGACAAUAGUUUUGUGAAUUCUUAAAAUCGAUAAAGUAUCCCGAUGGCUAUGCCGCAAAUAUCUCGAGUUGUGUUAGUACAAAAGGUGGUAAAUUAACUGGUCUUAAAACUCAUGAUUGCCACGUCCUUCUUCAAAAGCUUCUUCCAAUUGGGAUGCGUGGGUUCCUUAAUAAGGAAAUCAGUACUGCAUUGUUUGAGUUAGGAAGUUUCUUCCAACAGUUAUGCUCGAAGACAUUAAGGGUAGAGGAUCUCGACAAACUUGAGGAUGACAUCAUACUUGUACUUUGCAAGCUUGAAAAGAUUUUUCCUCUAGCUUUUUUUUUGAUGUUAUGGUGCACUUGGCUGUUCACUUACCGCAUGAGGCUAAGCUUGGAGGUCCUGUGCAAUACAGGUGGAUGUACCCAAUUGAAAGGUAAUUUUCUUGUACUCUUACAAAUUAAUAGGAAGUAAUUGAAUUAUAGUUCUAGAUAGAGUUGUAGAAUAAUAUUGUUAUGUGGGUUCUUUAUUUAUAGGCUACUUGGAGUACUAAAAGGUUUUGUUGGCAAUAAAGCUCGUCCAGAAGGUUCAAUUGUAGAGGCGUAUGUUUCAAAAGAGUGUACAACUUUUUGCUCAAUGUAUCUCGACGGAAUUGAAACGGUGUUCAACCGAGAAGAAAGGAAUGGUGGUGAGCGUGGCCCAGGUUUAGAUGUAUUUACUCAAAGUGUUCGUCCGUUUGGGCAAAUCCAAAGGGCACCUGAUCCUCCCACUAAGCAACGUGAGAUGGCACAUUGGUUUGCCUUAUAUAAUUGCUCCGGAGUCGAACCAUAUCUAGAGUAUGUUUCAUUUAAAUACACAUUGUAUCUCAUAGUUAGAGUGGAAAAAAUCCCAUAAUUAUGGUUAUUCAAUUAUACUGAUUAUAAAUUUUUAAGUAGGGAACACAAGAGCUUGUUAGCUGAUGGAAGUGCUGUAGAUAUCGCAAAGAGACAACGCAAAGAAUUUCCAAAGUGGUUCAAAGAAUGUAUGAAUGAGUUGCGAAGGCAAGGGUUGCCAGAAGCAACCAAUGAAUUGUGGUCAUUGGCCAACGGACCCAGUGCACUAAUAAAGACAUAUUCGGGAUGCAUUUCCAAUGGUGUUCGAUUCCAUACCAAUGAG